rnacentral:rRNA from 1 species
AUUGAACGCUGGCGGCAGGCCUAACACAUGCAAGUCGAACGAGUGGCGGACGGGUGAGUAAUGUCUGGGAAACUGCCUGAUGGAGGGGGAUAACUACUGGAAACGGUAGCUAAUACCGCAUACCAUCAGAUGUGCCCAGAUGGGAUUAGCUAGUUGGUGGGGUAACGGCUCACCAAGGCGACGAUCCCUAGCUGGUCUGAGAGGAUGACCAGCACAACUGGAACUGAGAAACGGUCCAGACGCCUCCGGGAGGCAGCAGUGGGAAAUAUUGGACAAGGGGGGCAAGCCUGAUGCAGCCAGGCCGCGUGUAUGAAGAAGGUCUUCGGUUUGUAAAGUACUUUCAGCGGGGAGGCGUUACCCGCAGAAGAAGCACCGGCUAACUCCGUGCCAGCAGCCGCGGUAAUAC